rnacentral:rRNA from 1 species
AUUGAACGCUGGCGGAAUGCUUUACACAUGCAAGUCGAACGGCAGCACGGGGGCAGCCCUGGUGGCGAGUGGCGAACGGGUGAGUAAUACAUCGGAACGUGCCCGGUCGUGGGGGAUAACGUAGCGAAAGUUACGCUAAUACCGCAUACGAUCUGAGGAUGAAAGCGGGGGACCUUCGGGCCUCGCGCGAUCGGAGCGGCCGAUGUCAGAUUAGGUAGUUGGCGGGGUAAAGGCCUACCAAGCCGACGAUCUGUAGCUGGUCUGAGAGGACGACCAGCCACACUGGGACUGAGACACGGCCCAGACUCCUACGGGAGGCAGCAGUGGGGAAUUUUGGACAAUGGGCGCAAGCCUGAUCCAGCCAUUCCGCGUGCAGGACGAAGGCCUUCGGGUUGUAAACUGCUUUUGUACGGAACGAAAAGGCUCUGGCUAAUACCUGGGGCUCAUGACGGUACCGUAAGAAUAAGCACCGGCUAACUACGUG